CAGCAGCCGCGGGAAUACGAAGGGGGCUAGCGUUACUCGGAAUUACUGGGCGUAAAGGGCGCGUAGGCGGCACGAUUAGUCAGGCGUGAAAUUCCUGGGCUCAACCUGGGGACUGCGCUUGAUACGGUCGAGCUAGAGGAUGGAAGAGGGUCGUGGAAUUCCCAGUGUAGAGGUGAAAUUCGUAGAUAUUGGGAGGAACAUCAGUGGCGAAGGCGGCCAUCUGGGACAACACUGACGCUGAGGCACGAAAGCGUGGGGAGCAAACAGGAUUAGAUACCCCUGUAGUCCCUGUCUCUUAUAC
rnacentral:rRNA from 1 species